rnacentral:lncRNA from 1 species
CUCUCGAAAACUCUCACCCACUCCCUCUCGCCUCUCCGUUUCGAUAACAACAUCGCCAGAAACGAGAAGUCGCCGGAAAACCAAACUCGCCGGAGCUCGGGAAGACGACCGGAGAAACCCGCGGCGGUUCUUUCUAUGUGUUCGGAUAACCUCGUGCGUUCGUUCUCUUGGAUUGUUCCAAUCUUACUCGUACGUUCUUACAAGAAAUCGCAACGCAAUCAAUGUGAGUAUACAUGACCCAUUUUCUAUUUUAUCACAUUUUGGGUGCUGUAUGCAUUUCUAUAUCAAACACACUAUGUUAAACAUUUUUGCACCCUCAAUCCACAUUUCAUGUGAAUCUAUUUGACUCAUGUUAAUCAUGUUAUGCUACUGUUAAACAUUUAUGACUGUGUGUUCAUUAACUUUGCAAGCCUCCCCUAACAAUGGCAACGCUGUAGGUUGAGAAACGCCCCUCCCAUAAUAUUAUGGGUAUUGUUAGGUUUAUUCUAUGUUACUCAUGUUACCACCCUUCUAGGGUUAGGCUAUGUUAAUUGAGUUAAACUUUGGUUUGAACACACAGAUUUCAUCGUUACGAGUAUAACUGUUAAUAUGAACUCAUGUAGUCACGUGGAUUUGAGCAUGUUAAUCUAUUUCAAACAUAUUAUACUAUUAUCAAACUUGUAUACUCGCCAACAUGUUUUGUUGACUUUAUUUUAAAUGCAUACUGCAGGAUGAGGAAGUCAGGAUUUGAAGAAAUGAAUAGGAUGGCCUAGAAACCCACUUUUGAAAUAAACUAUGUUUAAUGUUUGUUAUUUCCUUUUAUGACAAUGUAUGAAACUUUUCAAUUUUAAUAAAUGAAAUUUAAUUAUAUUGUCACAUGUAGUGUUAUGAUGUUUUGAGCAAUUUGUUCGUCUCAUCCCGAUAUUUCCGCCAUCGGUUGGGGUGUGACAGAUUGGUAUCAGAGCCAUAACUAUAGGGAAUUAGGUAGAUUGCUAUACUUUUCCCUAGUCUAUAGUAGGAGUACUCUGAUACCAGAUUGGUAUCAGAGCCAUAACUAUAGGGAAUUAGGAAAAGUAGGAAUGCUUUUACCUAGUCUAUAGUUUAGGAGCUUUCUCAUUUAUUUGCUAUUUAAGACAAUAUUCCCUUCUCUCUUCCUUGCUUCCCUCUAUUCUUUUGGACUUCUAAUAUACAAGCAUUUCCUAAGGCUAACACAAUACACACAUGGAAGCUGUGAAGACACUCAUGUAACACAAUCGAAAUGAUUCAUCAAAACAGGGGUGAUUCCCAUAUUUGGUGAUGAUUUUCAUUCAGCUUAAAUUUGAUUUUUGCACGAAACCUACCCUCAAGUUAGGAGUGACAUCCAAACCUUGAUGGGAGUUUCCAUUUCAUAUUCUAGUGGACCCUCAUCUUUGGAUGAGUACCAACCACAUUAGGGUACGAUGUUAUCAAGUUAGAGGUGAAACUCGCAUCUUGUUAACUAGUCCCAUUCCUUGAUUUUAAAUGUCGCCAAAGUUUCGAUUUUCCCAAUCAAUUAAGGACGUGUAGUAACUGGAAGGACAAAUAUCGUUAGUCGCUCCUCGAUGAGAGUAUUUGUCUAUUAGGCCAAAGCACGUCUCCUUAAUUCGAAAAGGAUUUCGAUUCACUUUGGAAUAGUCUUAUGUUACGUUCCGUGACAAUCCAUGUUUUUAUGAUAAAUCUCUUUUUAUGUUAUCUCAAUUAUCAUGUGAAUUAAUUUAAGCGUUAUCUUCAUUUCAAGUUUGGGAACACGAAUCACGUUAUUAUCGCAAUCUAAAACAAUUAAUAAUUACUCCUUCGUGAACAAACUAAAUUUACGAUGCUUUCAUUAUCUAGGUUACACUACGUGAAAUUCAUGUUUAUGCUAUGUGAAAUUAUAUGCUAUGUGACGCAUUAAUGAAAAUAAUUUCCUUAAGUAAAACAUUAUAAUCAACUCUCAUCUAUUCUCUCUUUUGAAUCUUUAGAUGUCAUCUUUUCAAAAAUCUUACUCCUAGAUUUCGAGGACGAAAUCUCCUAAAGUAGGGGAGACUGUAACAUCCGUCAAAAUGGGUUUUCCAAAAAUCCGAUCCGUUUUAAAAUUCGGAUCCUAACCCUUGAAACUCGAAGUUUUAAACGUUGAAAGUUUUUUUUUUCACUAAUUUGAUCCAUUUAUAAAUAUAGUGAUUUAUUUAUUCAUUAGUUUAAUUAAUUAAAUUAAUUAAAUUUACAAUUAGAAAGUUAGAAAUUUUUUUUAUUUAAACUAAUUAAUUAAGUUACAAUCCAGUUAGUUUUAACGUUAGUUUAGUUAGCAAUUUAAAAUAACAUAAACUAACCACGUUAGUGUUAGUUAAGCCAAGAUAGUUAAGUAAUCAAGUGGAGGGACUUUAUUGUAACUUUUCUUUAAACUUU